rnacentral:rRNA from 1 species
GACGAACGCUGGCGGCGUGCCUAAUACAUGCAAGUCGAGCGAAGUUUUUCUGGUGCUUGCACUAGAAAAACUUAGCGGCGAACGGGUGAGUAACACGUAAAGAACCUGCCUCAUAGACUGGGACAACUAUUGGAAACGAUAGCUAAUACCGGAUAACGGUAUUUCUCGCAUGAGAGAUAUUUAAAAGUUGGUUAUGCUAACACUAUGAGAUGGCUUUGCGGUGCAUUAGCUAGUUGGUGGGGUAAAGGCCCACCAAGGCGACGAUGCAUAGCCGACCUGAGAGGGUGAUCGGCCACACUGGGACUGAGACACGGCCCAGACUCCUACGGGAGGCAGCAGUAGGGAAUCUUCCGCAAUGGGCGAAAGCCUGACGGAGCAACGCCGCGUGAGUGAAGAAGGAUUUCGGUUCGUAAAGCUCUGUUGUUAGGGAAGAAUGGAUAUGUAGUAACUAUACAUGUAAGAGACGGUACCUAACCAGAAAGCCACGGCUAACUACGUG